CUUGUACUGUGAAACUGCGAAUGGCUCAUUAAAUCAGUUAUCGUUUAUUUGAUAGUACCUUACUACAUGGAUACCUGUGGUAAUUCUAGAGCUAAUACAUGCUAAAAACCCCGACUUCAGGAAGGGGUGUAUUUAUUAGAUAAAAAACCAACGCCCUUCGGGGCUCCUUGGUGAAUCAUAAUAACUUAACGAAUCGCAUGGCCUUGCGCCGGCGAUGGUUCAUUCAAAUUUCUGCCCUAUCAACUUUCGAUGGUAGGAUAGUGGCCUACCAUGGUGGCAACGGGUAACGGGGAAUUAGGGUUCGAUUCUGGAGAGGGAGCCUGAGAAACGGCUACUACAUCCAAGGAAGGCAGCAGGCGCGCAAAUUACCCAAUCCCGAUACGGGGAGGUAGUGACAAUAAAUACUGAUACGGGGCUCUUUUGGGUCUCGUAAUUGGAAUGAGAACAAUUUAAAUCCCUUAACGAGGAACAAUUGGAGGGCAAGUCUGGUGCCAGCAGCCGCGGUAAUUCCAGCUCCAAUAGCGUAUAUUAAAGUUGUUGCAGUUAAAAAGCUCGUAGUUGAACCUUGGGUCUGGCUGGCCGGUCCGCCUCACCGCGAGUACUGGUCCGGCUGGACCUUUCCUUCUGGGGAACCUCAUGGCCUUCACUGGCUGUGGGGGGAACCAGGACUUUUACUGUGAAAAAAUUAGAGUGUUCAAAGCAGGCCUUUGCUCGAAUACAUUAGCAUGGAAUAAUAGAAUAGGACGUGUGGUUCUAUUUUGUUGGUUUCUAGGACCGCCGUAAUGAUUAAUAGGGAUAGUCGGGGGGCGUCAGUAUUCAGCUGUCAGAGGUGAAAUUCUUGGAUUUGCUGAAGACUAACUACUGCGAAAGCAUUCGCCAAGGAUGUUUUCAUUAAUCAGGGAACGAAAGUUAGGGGAUCGAAGACGAUCAGAUACCGUCGUAGUCUUAACCAUAAACUAGCCGACUAGGGAUCGGACAGGAUUCUAUAAUGACCCGUUCGGCACCUUACGAGAAAUCAAAGUUUUUGGGUUCUGGGGGGAGUAUGGUCACAAGGCUGAAACUUAAAGAAAUUGACGGAAGGGCACCACAAGGCAUGGAGCCUGCGGCUUAAUUUGACUCAACACGGGGAAACUCACCAGGUCCAGACAAAAUAAGGAUUGACAGAUUGAGAGCUCUUUCUUGAUCUUUUGGAUGGUGGUGCAUGGCCGUUCUUAGUUGGUGGAGUGAUUUGUCUGCUUAAUUGCGAUAACGAACGAGACCUCGGCCCUUAAAUAGCCCGGUCCGCAUUUGCGGGCCGCUGGCUUCUUAAGGGGACUAUCGGCUCAAGGCGGAAGAGUC
rnacentral:rRNA from 1 species